GAUGAACGCUGGCGGCGUGCCUAAUACAUGCAAGUCGAGCGAACGGACGAGAAGCUUGCUUCUCUGAUGUUAGCGGCGGACGGGUGAGUAACACGUGGAUAACCUACCUAUAAGACUGGGAUAACUUCGGGAAACCGGAGCUAAUACCGGAUAAUAUUUUGAACCGCAUGGUUCAAAAGUGAAAGGCGGUCUUGCUGUCACUUAUAGAUGGAUCCGCGCUGCAUUAGCUAGUUGGUAAGGUAACGGCUUACCAAGGCAACGAUGCAUAGCCGACCUGAGAGGGUGAUCGGCCACACGGGAACUGAGACACGGUCCAGACUCCUACGGGAGGCAGCAGUAGGGAAUCUUCCGCAAUGGGCGAAAGCCUGACGGAGCAACGCCGCGUGAGUGAUGAAGGUCUUCGGAUCGUAAAACUCUGUUAUUAGGGAAGAACAUAUGUGUAAGUAACUGUGCACAUCUUGACGGUACCUAAUCAGAAAGCCACGGCUAACUACGUG
rnacentral:rRNA from 1 species